GUUAGGUUUAUAAAAUUGUAAAAUAUACGAUUUAUUAAUGGUCUAUAUGCUAUUUAUGAAUUAUGAUUAAACUUUAAUGGUUAAUUUACCAUUUAUAAGUUAUGGUUAUUGUAAAGUGUUACCCAAUCGUGAUUGGUUAGCUGCUCACCUGGCAGGUUCACAGCCAGUUUACCAUGGCGGAUCAGCCUGGUGUUACCAGAACCGUCAGCCUGCUCAUAUUCAUUUUCGCUGCCAUUCCCGGUAUCCGAUAAACCGACCUGAUUAUAGCAGCUCAUUAAAACAAGAUCAAAUAACUCCACUCAGUGUCCAUCAAUAAGAAACCAAUAAGAAAGAAAGAAGAAUUUUUUAGCAGAUUUAUUGACAACCCUUUUGCACACAUGAACCAAAAAAUACAGUUGUCUCACUUUUCUAUCAUGGUGUAAAAUUUGAAAAGUUAAACACAAACUGUGUCAUGUUUUAAGGCACACAUAGAUGGUAAAUAACAGUGAGAUAGAGCAGCAUGUUUGUGUUUAUUUUGCUGUUUUUCCUCCUCUAACGUAUUCUUCUUUUGAAACUGUCAGCACGUGCAGCAUGUGGAUCAUCUGAUCUCUGAGUUUCUUCAUCUUCAACGAACAAACGAACAGAGGAGACGGAUUUAAAGAAAGAGCUACCAGAAUAUUCUAAUGACUUGAACUGUUUUGGAUCAAACCACUGUUUCACUAGUGUCCAUGUAUUAGUUAUUUAUUGUGUUUCCAACUUUUAUUUUGUAGUUUUUUCCAUAACUGUCGCAUAUGUUGUGGAAAUGGUUCAGUUUCCUUUAUGUAGCAGAGUAAUUUAAGAGCAGAGUAUGUUUGCUUGUAUCUGAACUAGAAUGUGUCGCAGGUGUUUGAGAGCUGUUUGUGUCUUCUUUGUGCUGCCUGUAUGUGUGUGUUCAUAAUAAAUGAAAUGGGACAAACUUGUUGUUCUGUGGGUUCACUUUUACCUUAAAGCUCCUGUGAGGAAUUUUCUGUCUGUGUUGACUUUGGUGCCCCCCUAUGGACCAAACAUUACCUCUUACAUCUGGGCUGAUUUUGUCCCACAUGUUCACAAAUGCUAAAAUAAUAUGAAAUGCAUUUUCUGUCUUGCGGC